AGCAUGUUAGCUCAGGGGAAGAGCGCCGGGCUCAUAACCCGGAGGUACGUUUCACCGCAAACAAUUUCACUCACAAACAUUAAACUAACAAUCACAACAGGACCCUGGAUCGAAACCAGGACAUGCUA
rfam:Penicillium expansum strain MD-8 contig40, whole genome shotgun sequence.